UAGAGUUUUGAUCAUGGCUCAGAUUGAACGCUGGCGGCAGGCCUAACACAUGCAAGUCGAGCGGUAACAGGAAGAAGCUUGCUUCUUUGCUGACGAGCGGCGGACGGGUGAGUAAUACUUGGGAACUUGCCUCUAGGCGGGGGACAACCACUGGAAACGGUGGCUAAUACCGCAUAAUGUCUACGGACCAAAGUGGGGGACCUUCGGGCCUCACACCUAGAGAUGGGCCCAAGCGGGAUUAGCUAGUUGGUGAGGUAACGGCUCACCAAGGCGACGAUCCCUAGCUGUUCUGAGAGGAUGAUCAGCCACACUGGGACUGAGACACGGCCCAGACUCCUACGGGAGGCAGCAGUGGGGAAUAUUGGACAAUGGGGGCAACCCUGAUCCAGCCAUGCCGCGUGUGUGAAGAAGGCCUUCGGGUUGUAAAGCACUUUCAGUGGUGAGGAAAGGGUAAUCGUUAAUAGCGGUUACA
rnacentral:rRNA from 1 species